ACUUAAAUAGCUUAUAUAACUAGAGUUUAAUAUUGAAGAUAUUAAGGAAAUUUAAAAAUUUUUAAGUA
rnacentral:tRNA from 1 species